rnacentral:ncRNA from 1 species
CCAAAAGCUUUGAUUGGGAAGAGUACGCUAAACUAGCUUUUAGAGAGGAAGAUGAAUUGCUGAAACAUCUUCUAAGUGAAAGUAGCCGAAUGUCGCCCAGGAGCUGUUUAUAUGAACCCGUAAUGGAAGUAGUAUAGGCCGGACAAUGUUCGUUAACGGAAUGAAGAUCUAGAGAUGGUCUAUCCUUCUCUAGAAAAAAGGUGGUACCGCGAACAAACUCCCUCGUCCUUUUG